rnacentral:rRNA from 1 species
UGGGGAAUAUUGCGCAAUGGGCGAAAGCCUGACGCAGCGACGCCGCGUGGGGGGAUGACGGCCUUCGGGUUGUAAACCUCUUUCAGCAGGGACGAAGCCGCAAGGUGACGGUACCUGCAGAAGAAGCACCGGCCAACUACGUGCCAGCAGCCGCGGUAAUACGUAGGGUGCAAGCGUUGUCCGAAUUAUUGGGCGUAAAGAGCUCGUAGGCGGUUCGUCGCGUCGGCUGUGAAAAACCUGAGGCUCAACCUCAGGCCUGCAGUCGAUACGGGCGGACUUGAGUACUGCAGGGGGAGACUGGAAUUCCUGGUGUAGCGGUGAAAUGCGCAGAUAUCAGGAGGAACACCGGUGGCGAAGGCGGGUCUCUGGGCAGUAACUGACGCUGAGGAGCGAAAAGCAUGGGGAGCGAAACAGGAUUAGAUACCCUGGUAGUCCACGCCGUAAAACGUUGGGCGCUAGGUG